GGAAGAUAGAGAGAGAACAGUUCUGAAGCAAUAGCAAAAAAUAACAGCAGAAGCAAUUAUUUCAUCAAAGAUUCUGGGAGGAUGCCCCACUGUUGUCCUGAGAGGCUAAACACCUGGUCCCCAGCACAGCUAACUGCUUGGUAUCUCCUCUUCUCUGUCAUUGAACAAGUCAUGUUACAAGAGCACCCAAAGCUCAUCCAUGUGCAAUGCCAACCACUCCACUGCCUCGAACCAGGAUAAAAGUGGAGACUUCCUCCAUCAAGCCGCAGCUCUUUCUUUGGCUCCUUAGUUGAAACUUCCCAGAAGGACACUGGCAGUGCCUGUGGGCCAGCUGGGGGGAUCUGCGAGUGAAGUGUUCCCAGCGGAUCAUGGGCAGGCUUCUUGAUGCAGUCCAUGAAGCAGUUAAUAGGAUACAUGUCCCUUUAAUGCCCUCCAAGAGUCCCAUGUGCUGUGCUUUCCCAGACUCUUCCUGCCUGCUAGUCAUGCAGCUCACAAUUUAGUGCUCUGGAUGGGGCCAGAGAGAAAUGAGCCUCUUUGGCAGUAUCCCACACAGCUGGGGAAGCUGGGUGCUCACUUACACACUCUCACUUUCCCCAGCAAGGGAAACCAUGGGCAGAAAAGAUCUCUUUUGGCCCUAAACUGUGCCACCUUGGGUGAGAGGUGGUGCAGGUAAGCUCAAACUGUUCUUCUUACCUUCUCCAAUGUAUCCAAACUAGUAUUUUUUGCUCCAGUGAUGUACUGGAACUUCUCUUCUGGAAACCUGGACUGCCACAAAUCCUCUCUUGUCUGUGGGUGCUUGUGUAAGACAGUCUUUUCCAGGGACUCCCAGACCAUGGCCAAGAGGGGCUAGAGCUGGUUCAAAGGCCACUACAGGGUCCAUAGCCAGAGCUGAGGCCUGUAUGCCUAUUACCUGAUGCAUGGGUGGGUGAGACUCCUUCUGGUUCCCUUGGCGAAUGGUGCUGGAUUCCCUGGCUCCCAUAAGGCACUUUUGUGCAUUGAUGGAUUCUGAAUUAUUGUUGGGAGAGAGGGGAAACAAGGGAUGUUUUAUUCUGCAAUGGGUGUCACUCCUCAUCUCAUACAUUUUGAUGCGUAGUAUUCUCAUUGUCAUCCAUUUCUUAAAAAUCUCUGUAUUCUGAAAAAUUUUAAUCAUGUGCAAAAGUAGAGAGACUAGCAUAAUGAAGCCCUAGUUUUAUACCACCAAUUUCAACAAAUAUAGCCAAUUUUGGUUAUCCAUACCAUACUCCCCCAACCUUCUGGGUUACUUUAAAGUAAAACCAGAUGUAUUAUUUUAUCUUUAAGUAUUUCUAUUUGCAUCUGCAACAGAUUUGGACUCUUAAAUAAAUGUCAUCUCCAAAUGAAAAGGUAACAAUUUUUUUCCUAUCAUUUAAUAGGUAGUCAGUGUUUAGAUUUCUUCACUUAUUUCAUGAAUACCUUUUUAUAAUUGGUUUGCUUGAAUCAGCAGCCAAAUAAGGCUCUUACAUGGUAUUUGGUUGAUAUGUCUCUUUCAGUUUUUAUGAGUUUUCCUCUUUCUUGUUCUCUGUUUUUACUUUUUUUGGUCAAGAAAUGGGCAUUUGUUCUGUAAAAUGGCUGACUGUAUCCCCAUGGUGUUGUUUAAUGUGUUCAUCUACCCCUGUAUUUCCUGUGUACUGGUGGUUACAACUAAAGGCUUGAUCAGAUUCAGGUUUGAGUUUAAUAUUUUUGGCAAGAAUCUCUCAUAGGUGUUGCUGUGCACUUCCCAUUAUAUAAUAUCAAGAGACUCAUAAUGUCUGAUUGUUUCUCUUCUUGUGAUAGUAAGAUUGAUCAGUGGGCUCAACUGUUUUGAGCCUGAUCCAUCAUCAUAAGAUUCCUUGUCAGUCUUAUCUACUGGUUUUAGUAGCUAUCCAUAAUUAUUGCCCGGAUACAUUAUUUCAUUAGGAGUUGAAAAGUUUUGAGUUUCAAUUCUAUUAUUUCUUUAUACCAACUAAAUGUUUACCCUGAAAUAAAUUUCAUAGAAAAUGGCAGGAUAAAUUUUUUAGUCUUUUACUUACCAUUUAUCAGAAUGGGUUGAUGCUCUAGAAACCUCUAUAAGUGACCACUUUUAAAGUAUUACUUCAAGUGCAUAGAUUUUAAUGUAUUUGAUAUGUUUCAACCCAUUGUAGCCAUGAUUUUUUCCCGUGUUCACAUUAUCUGUCCCAUCUUUGGCCAGUGGGAGGCACUUUGUAUUGAUCCUAGGUCCUUUUCACAUGAUCCUGUAGUCUUUGAUAGCUUUCUUGUUUUCUGGUACAGAAAAGAUUUCCCAGGCAUAUCUUCGACAAUUCCUGUCUCAGAUCUGACAUCUGUCAUUUCUUUAGGAAGUUCUGGUUUUUCUUAGUGGGAACUAUUGUUAAUUUCUAAAUAGUCUGUAAUUUUAUCCUUAGUUGUUGAGUUAUUCAUGAGAGUGUUUUGAAAUUUCUAAGUGGUUAGUUUUUGACUUUGCUUUUGUUGUUAAUUUAUUUUAUUUUCCUGUAACCAGAGAAUGUAACUGUAUGAUUUUCUUUAUGACUUACCACUGG
ensembl:lncRNA